rnacentral:rRNA from 1 species
CAGUAGCCACGGUAAUACGUAGGUGGCAAGCGUUGUCCGGAAUUAUUGGGCGUAAAGGGCUCGCAGGCGGUUUCUUAAGUCUGAUGUGAAAGCCCCCGGCUCAACCGGGGAGGGUCAUUGGAAACUGGGAAACUUGAGUGCAGAAGAGGAGAGUGGAACUCCACGUGUAGCGGUGAAAUGCGUAGAGAUGUGGAGGAACACCAGUGGCGAAGGCGACUCUCUGGUCUGUAACUGACGCUGAGGAGCGAAAGCGUGGGGAGCGAACAGGAUUAGAUACCCGCGUAGUCCCUGUCUCUUAUAC